rnacentral:rRNA from 1 species
UACAGAGGGUGCGAGCGUUGUUCGGAAUUACUGGGCGUAAAGCGCGCGCAGGCGGCCUUUUAAGUCUGACGGUGAAAUGCCGGGGCUCAACCCCGUGCCCGCCGCGGAUACUGGGAGGCUGGAGACAUGUAGAGGCAAGCGGAAUUCCGGGGUGUAGCGGUGAAAUGCGUAGAUAUCCGGAGGAACACCGGUGGCGAAGGGCG